rnacentral:rRNA from 1 species
GUGGGGUGCAAGCGUUGUUCGGAAUUACUGGGCGUAAAGCGCGUGUAGGCGGCCUUGCAAGCCAGACGUGAAAGCCCUCGGCUUAACCGGGGAAGUGCGUCUGAAACUGGUAGGCUUGAGUAUCGGAGAGGAAAGUGGAAUUCCCGGUGUAGAGGUGAAAUUCGUAGAUAUCGGGAGGAAUACCGGUGGCGAAGGCGACUUUCUGGACGAAUACUGACGCUGAGGCGCGAAAGCGUGGGGAGCAAACAGGAUUAGAUACCCUGGUAGUCCACAGCUGUAAACGAUGUGCACUAGAUGUGGGGAAGUGUUGACCUUUCCUGUGUCGCAGCUAACGCAUUAAGUGCACCGCCUGGGGAGUACGGCCGCAAGGUUA